AUUUUCCUUCUAAUCUUCUAGGUUCUUGACUGAGACAACCUCCCCACCCCCCUCCCUGUAACAAAAGAUAGAUCAACAGAAGAAAAACAAACAGAAGUUUGAUGAAAUGGCAGUGCAGCGUUCAAAAAAAAUAGAGAAGUCCUCAACUCAGAACCCGUGCCCAGCAUGAUAAGCUCUGUGGAGCUUUCUCCUCUGCAUGCUGGAUGGAAUGCUUCUCUGGAUUCACAAAUCAUUUAAUAAAGCCAGUUACAUCUUCAAUUUUACUUGGCUCAGUUUUGUUAUUUAACACAGGUCAAUUUUUUUAUCCUUACCGUCAUCAUCAUCAUCACUUGGAGUUCAGUUUAGAAGGGUCCCAGAAAUAUGUAGACAG